CCUCUGUGAAGAAUUCAGCAAUUAUAGAUUCAAUAGAAAACCUCAAGUAAGGAGGAAGAGAAAAAGUUGAAAUGGAACAGAGUAUGUGUGUGUGUGGAAACCCAUGUGGUAUGUCUCCCUUCUCGGUUCCAGGCAAAGCAUGGAACCGUUAGUCACAUUUGAACACAUAUCCCUGAAAACAGGACUAAAAGGAGAGAUGGAUACUUGGAGUAUCCGAGACCAGGCCUUUAGAAAUAUGAGGGAGAAAUCCAUAGCUAGCUAAACAAUGGUAAAUUAUUGUAGGAUACAAGUGAAAUGGCUAUUAAUUUCCAUUGUACUUCAUGAUGGAAAAAAAUUCAAGUCUCUCUCUCUCUUUUAAGGAAAGAAGGAAAGACACCUAACCCACUGUUUCUCAAAGUGUGUUCUGGGAAAUAUCAAUUCUGCCAGAUGCUGACUAGAAACAAGUUUGUUGGCCAAAUAAGUUUGGGAAACACUGUUACAUAAGGACAGUCACAUUUCUGCACCCCUGGAAUUCUCAAGAGUUUAAUAAACAAAUAGACUCUGUGACUCCCCUUGUGGAGAAUAUAGCUCACAUGCACUCGACUGUUUCUGUGAGGUCAGUGUUAGGGCUAGUGAAACCACUUUGAGUUGGCUCACUGGAGAGCCACUUAUUAGAUGAGACUUAUCCCAGGAAAUUAUAGGAUCAAGAAAACUAACAGAACGAUGUGUUCCCACUGAAACCGUUGGUACUUUCAACACUGACAGUAUUCUUCACGGCGAAGUCUCGAAGUUAUUUACAUCUGAAGAAAAUCAUUUCCAACAAGUUAUCUAGAACGAAUGUUCCUGAAACAUGAGGUACUGCUUCGGUGCUCAUAACCGCGCUCUAGAGAGUCAAGCUUGAAACUACAACUGUACAACCGGCUUGAAGAACUUACUGUGCCCUCCUUAGGAGAUUUCAGGAACACAGAUGAUGGGUUGAAAUGUAAUAUAAAAACAAGAUAGAGUAUAACAAAGGAUGAUCCAGACCCCCUUUCAGGAUCCUAAGCCCGGUGCUGUGUAUGAAAUAAGACAGGAGUUACAAGAAGCCCAUACUUUCAAAGGAUACCUUUAGAGGUGACAGCACAGAAAGAGAUGGAGAUAAUGUAGCCAGUGCAAGAGGUGGAGCUUUCCAGAGGAGAAGCUGGGAACCUUCCUGGGGACCCCGCAGCCAGGGGCUAAGAGGGCUAAAGGGGCUCCGUUAGGAGCUGAAAGUGGCUCCUGGCCAAUAACUAGCAGGAAAACGAGGACCUCUGUCCUACAACCACAAGGAAAUGGCUUUUGCCAACAGCCAGCAAGGACCCCACGUUCCAGAUGAGAAUCACAGAUGGAGCUGACCCCUUGUUUCCGACUGGUAAGACUGAGCAGAGAAGGCAGUCACUCCAUGCCAAGAUGCUGACCUACGGUUUCUGAAAACUCAUCCACGUGUUUUUCUCAGAUAAAACGUAUUCCUCGAAGUGCAAGCACUUGAUGAAUAUAUGUUAUUUAUCUGCCUUAUUAAACAGUAUUUAGUAGACUGCCUAAUAUUUAAAGAAUCGAAU